rnacentral:rRNA from 1 species
UACGUAGGGUGCAAGCGUUGUCCGGAAUUAUUGGGCGUAAAGAGCUUGUAGGCGGUUUGUCGCGUCUGCUGUGAAAUUUCGGGGCUCAACCCCGAACUUGCAGUGGGUACGGGCGGACUAGAGUGUGGUAGGGGAGACUGGAAUUCCUGGUGUAGCGGUGAAAUGCGCAGAUAUCAGGAGGAACACCGAUGGCGAAGGCAGGUCUCUGGGCCAUAACUGACGCUGAGAAGCGAAAGCAUGGGGGAGCGAACAGG